rnacentral:rRNA from 1 species
ACGAACGCUGGCGGCAUGCCUAACACCUGCAAGUCGAACGAGACCUUCGGGUCUAGUGGCGCACGGGUGCGUAACGCGUGGGAACCUGCCUUAGGUUCGGAAUAACUCCCCGAAAGGGGUGCUAAUACCGGAUAAUGUCUUCGGACCAAAGAUUUAUCGCCUUUGGAUGGGCCCGCGUUGGAUUAGCUAGUUGGUAGGGUAAAAGCCUACCAAGGCGACGAUCCAUAGCUGGUCUGAGAGGAUGAUCAGCCACACUGGGACUGAGACACGGCCCAGACUCCUACGGGAGGCAGCAGUGGGGAAUAUUGGACAAUGGGCGAAAGCCUGAUCCAGCAAUGCCGCGUGAGUGAUGAAGGCCUUAGGGUUGUAAAGCUCUUUUACCCGGGAUGAUAAUGACAGUACCGGGAGAAUAAGCUCCGGCUAACUCCGUG